CUUUGCUGCAACCAAUGGGCUCCUAGGGCAGGACAUGCAUGGCUAAGGAACAUAGUAAUAAGAUGAAAAUGGACAGAAGAAGGAUUGAAGGAAAGAGAAGAAAAAGGAGAAACUAAGGACAAGGGCUUCAGAUGAAGAGCUCCUAAACACUCCUAAAGACUACCAGUUACACAGAGCUUGCCAAAUGAAAUAAGGAAGGAAAAAAGAAAGAAAUGAGAGAAGGAAGAAAAGAAGGAGGGGG